rnacentral:rRNA from 1 species
UGGGGAAUAUUGGGCAAUGGGCGAAAGCCUGACCCAGCAACGCCGCGUGAAGGAAGAAGGUUUUCGGAUUGUAAACUUCUGUCCUCAGGGAAGAAGGAAGUGACGGUACCUGAGGAGGAAGCCCCGGCUAACUACGUGCCAGCAGCCGCGGUAAUACGUAGGGGGCGAGCGUUGUCCGGAAUGACUGGGCGUAAAGGGCGCGUAGACGGUUUUUUAAGUCUGGAGUGAAAGUCCUGCUUUCAAGGUGGGAAUUGCUUUGGAGACUGGGGGACUUGAGUGCGGAAGAGGUAAGUGGAAUUCCCAGUGUAGCGGUGAAAUGCGUAGAGAUUGGGAAGAACACCAGUGGCGAAGGCGACUUACUGGGCCGUAACUGACGUUGAUGCGCGAAAGCGUGGGGAGCGAACAG